rnacentral:rRNA from 1 species
AACGAACGCUGGCGGCGUGGAUAAGACAUGCAAGUCGAACGCUGACUUCAGGGUAGCAAUAUUCUGGAGUCGGAGUGGCGCAAGGGUGCGUAACACGUGGGUAAUUUGCCGCGAAGUCUGGGAUAACUUGCUGAAAGGCGAGCUAAUACCGGAUGUGAUGUUUGGGAGGCAUCUCCUGAAUCUCAAAGUUGGGGACCGUAAGGCCUGACGCUUCACGAUAAGCCCGCGGCCUAUCAGCUAGUUGGUGAGGUAACGGCUCACCAAGGCUAAGACGGGUAGCUGGUCUGAGAGGACGAUCAGCCACACUGGCACUGCGACACGGGCCAGACUCCUACGGGAGCAGCAGUAAGAAUAUUGCGCAAUGGGCGAAAGCCUGACGCAGCGACGCCGCGUGGGGGAUGAAGGUCUUCGGAUU